CAUUAUAGAGUUUUCUAAACUCCCAACCCAUGUGAACUUACCUUUUGUUGCCUUGGCAGAAGUUAUAGGUCUUCUUAUAGCUGCUGCCGGUGGACCAUUAAACUCUUGUUAUUUUAUGUAAUCUGAGCGUCUUAUUUUAAUAAGUCAAAACUUUCAACAACGGAUCUCUUGGUUCUGGCAUCGAUGAAGAACGCAGCGAAAUGCGAUAAGUAAUGUGAAUUGCAGAAUUCAGUGAAUCAUCGAAUCUUUGAACGCACAUUGCGCCCAUUAGUAUUCUAGUGGGCAUGCCUGUUCGAGCGUCAUUUCAACCCUUAAGCCUAGCUUAGUGUUGGGAAUCUACUUCUCUUAGGAGUUGUAGUUCCUGAAAUACAACGGCGGAUUUGUAGUAUCCUCUGAGCGUAGUAAUUUUUUUCUCGCUUUUGUUAGGUGCUAUAACUCCCAGCCGCUAAACCCCCAAUUUUUUGUGGUUGACCUCGGAUCAGGU
rnacentral:rRNA from 1 species